AUUGAACGCUGGCGGCAGGCCUAACACAUGCAAGUCGAGCGAGCGGCGGACGGGUGAGUAAUGUAUGGGGACUGCCCGAUAGAGGGGGAAAACUACUUGAAACGGUGGCUAAUACCCCAUACUGUCGGAUAACCCAUAUGGGAUUAGCUAGUAGGUAAGGUAAUGGCUUACCUAGGCGACGAUGCCUAGCUGGUCUGAGAGGGUGAUCAGGCAGACUGGGACUGAGACAAGGCCCAGACGCCCACGGAGGCAGAAGAGGGGAAUAUUGGAGAAAGGGCGCAAGCCUGAUGCAGCCAUGCCGCGUGUACGAAGAAGGCGCUAGGGGUGUAAAGUACUUAAAGUCGGGAGGCGUUACUGGCAGAAGAAGCACCGGCUAACUACGUGCCAGCAGCCGCGGUAAUAC
rnacentral:rRNA from 1 species